rnacentral:rRNA from 1 species
CAGGCCUAACACAUGCAAGUCGAGCGGUAGCAGGUCCUUCGGGAUGCUGACGAGCGGCGGACGGGUGAGUAAUGCAUAGGAAUCUGCCCGACAGUGGGGGAUAACCUGGGGAAACCCAGGCUAAUACCGCAUACGUCCUACGGGAGAAAGGGGGCUUUGGCUCCCGCUAUUGGAUGAGCCUAUGUCGGAUUAGCUAGUUGGUGAGGUAAUGGCUCACCAAGGCAACGAUCCGUAGCUGGUCUGAGAGGAUGAUCAGCCACAUCGGGACUGAGACACGGCCCGAACUCCUACGGGAGGCAGCAGUGGGGAAUAUUGGACAAUGGGGGCAACCCUGAUCCAGCCAUGCCGCGUGUGUGAAGAAGGCCCUCGGGUUGUAAAGCACUUUCAGCGAGGAAGAACGCCUGUCGGUUAAUACCCGGCAGGAAAGACAUCACUCGCAGAAGAAGCACCGGCUAACUCCGUGCCAGCAGCCGCGGUAAUACGGAGGGUGCAAGCGUUAAUCGGAAUUACUGGGCGUAAAGCGCGCGUAGGUGGCUUGAUAAGCCGGUUGUGAAAGCCCCGGGCUCAACCUGGGAACGGCAUCCGGAACUGUCAAGCUAGAGUACAGGAGAGGAAGGUAGAAUUCCCGGUGUAGCGGUGAAAUGCGUAGAGAUCGGGAGGAAUACCAGUGGCGAAGGCGGCCUUCUGGACUGAUACUGACACUGAGGUGCGAAAGCGUGGGUAGCAAACAGGAUUAGAUACCCUGGUAGUCCACGCCGUAAACGAUGUCGACCAGCCGUUGGGUGCCUAGCGCACUUUGUGGCGAAGUUAAUGCGAUAAGUCGACCGCCUGGGGAGUACGGCCGCAAGGUUAAAAC